rnacentral:rRNA from 1 species
GGCUUGGUAAUUGGAAUGAGGGAGAGUUAAACGGACCAUCGAGUAUCCAUUGGAGGGCAAGUCUGGUGCCAACAGCUGCGGUAAUACCAGCUCCAAUAGCGUAUAUUAAAGUUGUUGCAGUUAAAAAGCUCGUAGUUGGACUUGUGUGCGCUGUCCGCGGGUGGCCUGCGCCCAAAAGGGCGUUUCGGUUCGGCCCCGGUGGCGCCUUGAAAUCUGCAGCUGGGGGGACGUUGGCCUUAACUGGUCGGCGACCGCACGCCGGCUGCUCGGUUACUGUGAGAAAAUUAGAGUGUUCAAGGCAGGCAUUGGGUGCAAUUGAAUACAUUAGCAUGGAAUAAUAAAAUAUGGCUCCUGCCGUAUUUUGUUGGUUUUGACUGGUGGGAGUAAUGAUUGAUAGGGACGGUUGGGGGUGCUAGUAUUGAGCGGCCAGAGGUGAAAUUCAUGGAUUCGCUCAAGGCUAACUUAUGCGAAAGCAUUCACCAAGGACGUCCUCUUUAAUCAAGAACGAAAGUUGGGGAAUCGAAGACGAUCAGAUACCGUCGUAGUCUCAACUAUAAACUAUGUCGACUUGGGAUCGGCGGUAGUUUUUUCAUUAAGACACUGUCGGGACCACGGGAGAAAUCAAAGUGUCUGGACUCUGGGGGAAGUAUGGUCGCAAGGCUGAAACUUGAAGGAAUUGACGUAAGGGCACCACCAGGAGUGGAGCCUGCGGCUUAAUUUGACCCAACACGGGGAAACUUACCAGGUCCAGAGAUGUAGAGGAUUGACAGAUUGAAGCUCUUUCUUGAUCACUUCGGUGGUGGUGCAUGGCCGUUCUUAGUUGGUGGAGUGAUUUGUCUGGUUAAUUCCGUUAACGAACGAGACCUCAGCCUGCUAGUGUAGUCGGCUGGAUUGCCUUUGGCGAUCCGUGAUUUCGACUUCUUAGAGGGACAAUCGACGCGCAGUCGAUGGAAGUUUGAGGCAAUAACAGGUCUGUGAUGCCCUUAGAUGUUCUGGGCCGCACGCGCGCUACACUGCUGGGCUCAGCGAGUUUUACUUGGCCGAGAGGCCCGGUUAAUCUUGUGAAAUCCCAGCGUGCUUGGGCUCGCCUCCUGCAACUGGAGGCGCCAACGAGGAAUUCCUAGUAGACGCAGGUCAUCAACCUGCAUCGAUUACGUCCCUGCCCUUUGUACACACCGCCCGUCGUUCCAUAAGAGUGAGGCAUCCGGUGAAUUCUCGGGAGAGCCUGGGCGUGGCCAGCAAUGGUCUGCUCGGGUUUGAACUUGCAUAAACUUGGUGCCUAUGAUUAGGG